ACGGAAGGCAGCAGUGGGGGAUAUUGGACAAUGGGGGAAACCCUGAUCCAGCGACGCCGCGUGAGUGAAGAAGUAUUUCGGUAUGUAAAGCUCUAUCAGCAGGGAAGAAAAAAUCAAAAUUGACAGUACCUGACUAAGAAGCCCCGGCUAACUACGUGCCAGCAGCCGCGGUAAUACGUAGGGGGCAAGCGUUAUCCGGAUUUACUGGGUGUAAAGGGAGCGUAGGCGGUACGGCAAGUCAGAAGUGAAACUCCGGGGCUCAACCCCGGAACUGCUUUUGAAACUGUCGAUCUUGAGUACUGGAGAGGUAAGUGGAAUUCCUAGUGUAGCGGUGAAAUGCGUAGAUAUUAGGAGGAACACCAGUGGCGAAGGCGACUUACUGGACAGCAACUGACGUUGAGGCUCGAAAGCGUGGGGAGCAAACAGGAUUAGAUACCCUGGUA
rnacentral:rRNA from 1 species